GGAGAGUUUGAUCAUGGCUCAGAUUGAACGCUGGCGGUAGGCUUAACACAUGCAAGUCGGACGGCAGCAGGCCGUAACAAUCCCUUCGGGGUGCGUUUGGUGCUGGCGAGUGGCGGACGGGUGAGUAAUACGUAGGAAUCUGCCCAACAGUGGGGGACAACCCGGGGAAACCCGGGCUAAUACCGCAUACGCCCUACGGGGGAAAGCGGGGGACUUUAGGGCCUCGCGCUGUUGGAUGAGCCUGCGGCGGAUUAGCUUGUUGGUGAGGUAAAAGCUCACCAAGGCGACGAUCCGUAGCUGGUCUGAGAGGAUGAUCAGCCACACUGGGACUGAGACACGGCCCAGACUCCUACGGGAGGCAGCAGUGGGGAAUAUUGCACAAUGGGCGCAAGCCUGAUGCAGCCAUA
rnacentral:rRNA from 1 species